rnacentral:rRNA from 1 species
GAUUUCUGGUUCGGCGUACUUGGCCCGCUCCGGUUUACGGGGUUGUGUGCCGGUGUGCGCCAUCCAUCCUUCGAGAAAUCAUUUCUGCCCUUCACUGGGUUGGAAGUGGAAUCUCGAUCUUUUACUUUGAAAAAAUUAGAGUGUUUAAAGCAGGCUUGCGGCUAUGAAUACAUUAGCAUGGAAUAAUAAUUUAGGACUUUGGCCCUAUUUUGUUGGUUUCUAGGACUGAAGUAAUGAUUGAUAGGGAUAGUUGGGGGUGCUCGAAUUCAGCGGCCAGAGGUGAAAUUCUUGGAUUCGCUGAAGACGAACUCAUGCGAAAGCAUU